rnacentral:rRNA from 1 species
UACGUAGGGGGCAAGCGUUGUCCGGAUUUAUUGGGCGUAAAGCGCACGCAGGCGGUGCGGUAAGUUUUGAGUGACAGGUGGUGGCUUAACUGCCACAGGACCCGGAAAACUGCCGGACUUGAGGGCUUGAGAGGGACGCGGAAUUCCAGGUGGAGCGGUGAAAUGCGUAGAGAUCUGGAAGAACACCAAAGGCGAAGGCAGCGUCCUGGCGAGUCACUGACGCUCAGGUGCGAAAGCUAGGGGAGCGAACGGG